rnacentral:rRNA from 1 species
CGAGUGCCUCAAGCGUUAUCCGGAAUCAUUGGGCGUAAAGGAUGUGUAGGUUGUCAUAUUAGUCUUCUGUUAAAGCUCCCGGCUUAACCGGGAACCUGCAGAAGAAACGGUAUGACUAGACGAUGCAAGGGGUCUGCGGAACUCAUAGUGUAGCGGUGAAAUGCGUUGAUAUUAUGGGGAACACCAAAAGCGAAGGCAGCAGACUGGGGCACUCGUGACACUGAACCAUGAAAGCGUGGGUAGCGAAUGGGAUUAGAUACCCCAGUAGUCCACGCCCUAAACGAUGACAACUAGCUAUUUCGAGUAUCGACCCUCGGAGUGGCGUAGCUAACGCGUUAAGUUGUCCGCCUGGGUAGUACGACCGCAAGGUUA